rnacentral:rRNA from 1 species
AGUCAACAUGCCCAGGGGACGUGGAUAACCUCGGGAAACUGAGGAUAAACCGCGAUAGGUCAUCACUUCUGGAAUGGGUAAUGACUUAAACCUAUAUGGCCCCUGGAUUGGACUGCGGCCGAUCAGGCUGUUGGUGAGGUAAUGGCCCACCAAACCUGUAACCGGUACGGGCUCUGAGAGGAGGAGCCCGGAGAUGGGCACUGAGACAAGGGCCCAGGCCCUAUGGGGCGCAGCAGGCGCGAAACCUCUGCAAUAGGCGAAAGCUUGACAGGGUUACUCUGAGUGAUUUCCGUUAAGGAGAUCUUUUGGCACCUCUAAAAAUGGUGCAGAAUAAGGGGUGGGCAAGUCUGGUGUCAGCCGCCGCGGUAAUACCAGCACCCCGAGUGGUCGGGACGUUUAUUGGGCCUAAAGCAUCCGUAGCCGGUUCUACAAGUCUUCCGUUAAAUCCACCUGCUUAACAGAUGGGCUGCGGAAGAUACUAUAGAGCUAGGAGGCGGGAGAGGCAAGCGGUACUCGAUGGGUAGGGGUAAAAUCCGUUGAUCCAUUGAAGACCACCAGUGGCGAAGGCGGCUUGCCAGAACGCGCUCGACGGUGAGGGAUGAAAGCUGGGGGAGCAAACCGGAUUAGAUACCCGGGUAGUCCCAGCUGUAAACGAUGCAGACUCGGUGAUGAAUUGGCUUAUUGCUAAUUCAGUGCCGCUGGGAAGCCGUUAAGUUUGCCGCCUGGGGAGUACGGUCGCAAGACUGAAACUUAA